ACCUGGAUGCCACAUCUGUCACCCCACUGACCAACAGGGCCGAUCUGGCUGGCUAGACAGGUGUCCCCUU
rnacentral:sRNA from 1 species